UACGUAGGGGGCUAGCGUUGUCCGGAAUCAUUGGGCGUAAAGCGCGUGUAGGCGGUCCGGUAAGUCCGCUGUGAAAGUCGGGGGCUCAACCCUCGAAUGCCGGUGGAUACUGUCGGGCUAGAGUGCGGAAGAGGCGAGUGGAAUUCCUGGUGUAGCGGUGAAAUGCGCAGAUAUCAGGAGGAACACCUAUUGCGAAGGCAGCUCGCUGGGACGUAACUGACGCUGAGAAGCGAAAGCAUGGGGAGCGAACAGG
rnacentral:rRNA from 1 species